GAGCAGACACUGAGCCUCUUUCUGUAUCUCUGAGAUCUUUCAGGGCUUGUCAGCACUGACCCUGAUCCCCACUUUUCUCUGACACCCUCCUCUGCCUCUUCCUCUUCCUUGUUUGGUUCUUCCUCUUCUCCUCCGCCUCAUCACCCUCCUCUCUGUCCUUCCCUACUUCUCUUUCUCAUCUUCCUCCUCUUCCUUGUCCUCUUCUUCCUCUCCUUCCACAUCCUUCCUUAUCCUUACUCUUUCUCUACUACCUUUUGAGUUUGCCAAAGUUAUUUUUUACAUAAUAUGAUGUGUUUUAGUAACUUUAUUAAAAAAAAAAACAAACAACAAUCUUGGUAACCUUCAGAAUUCCUCUAAGCUUGUUCACAUUCUCGCAAAUCAGAAGAGAUUUUCUUUAGGAUUUCGGAGUGCUGGCAAAACAAAAGAAAGAAGGAAAAAGAAGAGCUCGACGUGGAGUCGAGAGGAAAAUGGGGAGAGAAAAAGAAUUGGAUGAAAUCACAGUUGUAAUGAGGUAUAUCUGCAAUAUGCCCAAGUCAAGUUUAACUCUUGAAAGAAAACAGAAGUGAAAGGAAAGACAGGUGGAGUCAUGUCUGACAAAGAGACAAGUGUCCUGUGCUCUAGAUUUGAAACUCAUCCUGAGGAGUCCCAUAACCAACUCAGGAUGUCACUGUUAUAGAAAAGGAAGAGCAAAUGAAACAACAUCCCUGCCUGGACUCCACCUCGUGAUCCAAUACUCUGACAAGGACCGUUGGACCAAAUCAACUUGCUAUUCUGAUGACAGUUGAUCCUCAAUGGAAUAUCUGGAGGAAGCAUUCUACCACAACAAACUUCUUAGCAACUCCCUGCUUUCAUCUUCAGGCUAUCUAACCCUGGUGGAUCUUAAUCUACCUUCUGUUUAAUUGGUUAUACAGACAUUCCGAACUAUGAGACAUUCCUAACUAUGUUGCAUUAUACAUGUUUAUCUAAAUCAGUGUGUUUGUCUAGUAGCCCACUUAUCUACAGGAAACGCUACAAGACCUUAAAUAGGUAUUACUUCUAUCAUGCUUCUUUCUGCACAUACUCUCUCAACUGAAUCCUAACCAUAUUCUGACAGUAACUUUCACUAUCUGAGGUACAGUAACAAAACUAUUAUGGAUUUUGUUUCUUGUCUUCAUUAUUUCACAGCCAGAACAUUUGUUAAUGUAGAUGCUAGCACCCUUGGGAAGGGAGUUGUUCUCUUUUCUAAGUUGAGAGCUCUGACCUUCUCACUUAAAUGUGUGCUUUCGGGUUUCUUGUCGACACAGAUGAAUUGCCAGCACGGUUACUUUUGUACUUCGGGGCCAAUAUUAAAUAAGGGCUGCCUGGACACUAGCACUGUAAUGGUAUGACAGUUAAUCUGAUUGCCAGCCACCACGUGAGUAAUGGGCAGGUAGAGUCUUCUGUGAGAAUUGCACAGACAAAGGGAUGGCUCAUUUCGGACGGAGUGAGGAAGGAUGGUAAAAGGUUCCAUCAUGUGGUCAAGAAUAACUGACAAUUGAAAGCUUGUAGGGGGCUUAAUUUGGGAAAUUCCCAUUUAAUACUUUUGGACAAAAGGUGAUCUGAGUAACAAGCCACAGAAAGAGAAAAUUGCAACAAACAAGGCACUACUGUACUUAAAUAAAAUUUUCUAUGUG
rnacentral:lncRNA from 1 species